rnacentral:misc_RNA from 1 species
UUAGUUUUGGUGUAUUAGUGCUAGAGAUAGUCAAUGGGAAGAGAAAUAGAGGAUUCUAUCAUCCAGACCACCAGCACAACCUUCUUGGGCAUGCAUGGAGACUCUAUUUAGAAGAGAAGUCAUCGGAGUUGAUCGAUGAAUCUUUAAAGGAUUCUUGCAUUUUAUCUCAAGUGAUGCGUUCAAUCCAUGUUGGUUUAUUAUGUGUACAACAAAGUCCAGAAGAUAGGCCUAACAUGUCAACAGUGAUAUUGAUGCUAAGUAGUGAGAUUGCAUUGCCUCAACCUAAAGAGCCUGGUUUUUUUCACUGAAAGGAGAGUUUUUGAGCACGAAUCAUCCUCUAGCAAGGUUGAUACAUGUUCAGCAAAUGAAAUUACCAUUACAUUGUUAGCUGCAAGAUGAAGAACGUUGUUCCCUAGUUGUUUUCAUGCCUUACGUUAUUGAGUAUAUCGACCAUAUUUCUGUAAAUUGGUAGGGCCAGGGGAGCUAGUCAAACAGCCUUUGAUAUGGGUUUUUAAGUGCAAUAGAAAAGUGAUUUUUUUUUUU